rnacentral:rRNA from 1 species
ACGUAGGGUGCAGGCGUUAAUCGGAAUUACUGGGCGUAAAGCGUGCGCAGGCGGUUUCUUAAGUCAGAUGUGAAAGCCCCGGGCUUAACCUGGGAACUGCGUUUGAAACUGGGAGACUUGAGUAUGUCAGAGGGGGGUGGAAUUCCACGUGUAGCAGUGAAAUGCGUAGAGAUGUGGAGGAACACCGAUGGCGAAGGCAGCCCCCUGGGAUAAUACUGACGCUCAUGCACGAAAGCGUGGGGAGCAAACAG